GCAUUGGUGGUUCAGUUACAGAAUUCUCGGCUUCUAUGCAGAAGGCCUGGAUUCGAUUCCCGGCCAAUGCA
rnacentral:tRNA from 1 species